rnacentral:rRNA from 1 species
CGCGGCCUAUCAGCUUGUUGGUGAGGUAAUGGCUCACCAAGGCGUCGACGGGUAGCCGGCCUGAGAGGGUGACCGGCCACACUGGGACUGAGACACGGCCCAGACUCCUACGGGAGGCAGCAGUGGGGAAUAUUGCACAAUGGGCGGAAGCCUGAUGCAGCAACGCCGCGUGAGGGAUGACGGCCUUCGGGUUGUAAACCUCUUUUAGCAGGGAAGAAGCGAGAGUGACGGUACCUGCAGAAAAAGCACCGGCUAACUACGUGCCAGCAGCCGCGGUAAUACGUAGGGUGCAAGCGUUAUCCGGAAUUAUUGGGCGUAAAGAGCUCGUAGGCGGUCUGUCGCGUCUGCUGUGAAAUUCCGAGGCUCAACCUCGGGCUUGCAGUGGGUACGGGCAGACUAGAGUGCGGUAGGGGAGAUUGGAAUUCCUGGUGUAGCGGUGGAAUGCGCAGAUAUCAGGAGGAACACCGAUGGCGAAGGCAGAUCUCUGGGCCGUAACUGACGCUGAGGAGCGAAAGGGUGGGGAGCAAACAGGCUUAGAUACCCUGGUAGUCCACCCCGUAAACGUUGGGAACUAGUUGUGGGGUCCUUUCCACGGAUUCCGUGACGCAGCUAACGCAUUAAGUUCCCCGCCUGGGGAGUACGG